CCCCGGGCUGCGGGCAGCGGCUCUGCCCGCCCGGCCCUGCCCGCCCGGACCCGGCUCUGCCCGCCCGGCCCUGCCCCGCAGUUCUGUGCCCGGCCCGGCCGUGCCGCUGUCCCGGUUCCCGGUGUGACCCCCCGCCCGCACCCCCGUCCCUCCUGUCCGCGGCAGCGGCACCCGCAGGUACAGCCCGAGCCCCGCCCGCGCCAACAGAGGAGUCACAUUUAAACAACACAAGGGACUAAAUCUGUAGUGACCUGGCUCCCCCAAAACGUGGAGGUUCAGAGUACAGCAAAGAACCACAGUGAACACCACCCCCCCCCCAUAUUGCAAUCAAAAGGUGGUUUCUAGCUGCUGUAGUGGGGAUGUACUGAGGGGGUUGUGUUCAGAGGCUACUGACUCCUCAAAUGGGAUAAGAAGUGUUCUUAUAUUGCCUAAAUGCCAGACCAGCAGCAGAGAAUGUUCCUAGCACAGAGAGAGAUUGUCUACACUAUCUUUUAAGGCAGGUUGUGACAUCCCUGAUGUCUGUUUGACCACGGGACUGCAGGGUGACACGUAAACCAAAAAAUAUGCAAACACUUAUACGACUGCAUUGUGGAAUGUGUGUAGGACAGAGAUGUGAGCACUUAAUUUCAUCUGCCCUAACCAGGGGCUGGAAGAGUCUCAGGACUUUCCUACCCUUUGAUAUUUCUUUAUAGUUCAGCAUCUACAUCCAGCAAGAGCUUGUUUAUGAUAAAAUUUUGAAUUUGCUGUUAAUGUUGUCCACAAACAACUUGGAGAAAGAGACGCUGAGGCCACCUCGGUCUCUGAGUGAUUUGUAUUAACAUCUCUGUCCUCUGCUUUCUCCUUCCUUUUUUUCUCCUUUUGCAUAUCUAAGUUCUGCCCCUCCUCUAGAAAAAGUGACUCUUCCUUGCUCUGUCUGGACUUCAGAGAAGCACCCAGCAGGAUAAUUAACUGCAGAUCAUGACUGUGAUUUCAUUCCAAAGCAGUGGCCUCGCUGGCAGACGCUGCAAUAGCCAUCGGGAUGAGCUAUUCAGCAGCAGCCAGGAAUCACCCCUGGCUGAGCAAGGCCAGUGAAGCUUUUUUAACCCGGGUAGUGACACAAUGUCAAAGAAAGGAGCAGGAAGAGGUCUGGAAUAUUUUCGGUGAUUCAAACACUAGCACGGAUUAACAGGGCUCCUGUUGCAAUCAGGGAGGAAUUGGGAAGCAGAGAACAUGAGAGAGAACCUGUGGCUUACUGUUCAAGGAAAAGUUUCUUCCCAUUUGAAAUGUCCCCAGCACGUGCCGGGAGACUUUAUUGGACACAGGACCAGCACCUUCACUCUGGAGCCAAGGACAAAGUGUGAGCUGAGAAUUCCUGUGGGUUUUCCUGCAGACCUGGCCCGAUCCUUCCCUCUGUGUGCCUUGACCUUCUCAUCAGCCUCCUCGUCCUCUUACUCAGGCAAAAAGCAGAAGCACCAGAACACCUCCAAGGAAGUGAUUCAAGGGGCACCUUUGGCUUUGACUAGAAACCCUGGUGGCUGGAAACUUCCCACGGGGGACUCUUCCCACACAGAUACAUUUCCAGCUCACACUUCUGUGGCUCGAAACCUCUGCUGAGAGGGAGCAGAGACAUGGCAGGGACUUCCCUCUGCCACGUGGCUCCUACCACUCGUGCCACUUCCACAGCUACAACGGGAAAUUUUUAGCAAGGACAAGCCAGUGGCAUUCACACCAAAGCCUGACAACACUGUGUGGAGACCUUGGGCUGCAAUUUCUUAUUUUAGUUCACAUAGGAGCUUGAGGAAGUGCAUUAAGAAGCUCUUGCCAAAGUGUCUUUAAAAAAUCCACCCAAAUAACCAAGAAGCAUGGGAUUAUCAGGAGCUGCUAAAGAAAUGGUGCCACAUCUGGGAGUUAUCUGGAGCCAGGAACUUGGAGUGGUUUAUCUUCCAACAAUACCUGACUGGCUGUUACAGACUGUCCCAUCUCUGCCUGUGGGAGGGCAGAAUCAGGGGGGAUUUCAUGUACCCACAGGCAGGGUCUGGCACAAAAAUUAAUAGCAGAGAUAUUGUGGAGUUUUUAGGACAGCAGAUCACUUCUGGGAUAUUGGGUCUUUGAUCCAAAUAUUGGCUGGAAUUUUCCAAAGAGUUUGGGGAAACAUUAUGAGAAUUUCCAAAAUCACCACUCAGCCCCUGAAGUUUUCCCCCCAUCUAAAAUCUGGGAAUACUACAGCAAGUCAUGUUUGCUUUUAGGGAACAGAUUUGUUUUGGGAAAAACACUACCAGAAACGGGAAGAAGCACUGCUGGUUUUGUUUAGUAAGUUUUGAAGGGAAGAAAUGGCCUGUCCUUUUCUACCUCAGUCAGGAGUUUCCAGGAUGCUUCUCUCUGAUCUAAUCUUAUCACCCUGAUUUCUUUCUGGCAUUUUGGGACAUGUUUUUCGUGACUAUAUCAGUCAGCUGAAGCCCUUUCCUGCCCCUGCAUGAAUUAUUAUUGUUUGGAUUUUGGCAGAACAUAGAGAUCCCUCUGAAGAUUGUGGCUGAAUUGGCUCCAUGGAGUUUAUUCCUGCUUGAUUUCUGUGGGGUAUUGAUGGGAAAUAUAUAAACAGCUGAGAAAGGAGAUGUGACAAGUCUAUGGGGAAGGGCCCAGCAGGGCAGUUCUGCCUCCAGCAGGGAGACCCAGCCCUCGGGUUUAAUAAUAAUAAACAAUCCUGGGUGAGAUCUUUGCUGCCCUGAACCCGCUGGGUGUUUUGUGUUCA